rnacentral:rRNA from 1 species
GAUGAACGCUGGCGGCGUGCCUAAUACAUGCAAGUCGAGCGAACGGACGAGAAGCUUGCUUCUCUGAUGUUAGCGGCGGACGGGUGAGUAACACGUGGAUAACCUACCUAUAAGACUGGGAUAACUUCGGGAAACCGUAGCUAAUACCGGAUAAUAUUUUGAACCGCAUGGUUCAAAAGUGAAAGACGGUCUUGCUGUCACUUAUAGAUGGAUCCGCGCUGCAUUAGCUAGUUGGUAAGGUAACGGCUUACCAAGGCAACGAUGCAUAGCCGACCUGAGAGGGUGAUCGGCCACACUGGAACUGAGACACGGUCCAGACUCCUACGGGAGGCAGCAGUAGGGAAUCUUCCGCAAUGGGCGAAAGCCUGACGGAGCAACGCCGCGUGAGUGAUGAAGGUCUUCGGAUCGUAAAACUCUGUUAUUAGGGAAGAACAUAUGUGUAAGUAACUGUGCACAUCUUGACGGUACCUAAUCAGAUAGCCACGGCUAACUACGUG